rnacentral:rRNA from 1 species
AGCGUACACGGUGGAUGCCCUGGCAGUCAGAGGCGAUGAAGGACGUGCUAAUCUGCGAUAAGCGUCGGUAAGGUGAUAUGAACCGUUAUAACCGGCGAUUUCCGAAUGGGGAAACCCAGUGUGUUUCGACACACUAUCAUUAACUGAAUCCAUAGGUUAAUGAGGCGAACCGGGGGAACUGAAACAUCUAAGUACCCCGAGGAAAAGAAAUCAACCGAGAUUCCCCCAGUAGCGGCGAGCGAACGGGGAGGAGCCCAGAGUCUGAAUCAGUGUGUGUGUUAGUGGAAGCGUCUGGAAAGGCGUGCGAUACAGGGUGACAGCCCCGUACACAAAAAUGCACAUACUGUGAGCUCGAUGAGUAGGGCGGGACACGUGGUAUCCUGUCUGAAUAUGGGGGGACCAUCCUCCAAGGCUAAAUACUCCUGACUGACCGAUAGUGAACCAGUACCGUGAGGGAAAGGCGAAAAGAACCCCGGCGAGGGGAGUGAAAAAGAACCUGAAACCGUGUACGUACAAGCAGUGGGAGCCUCUUAAUGGGGUGACUGCGUACCUUUUGUAUAAUGGGUCAGCGACUUAUAUUCUGUAGCAAGGUUAACCGAAUAGGGGAGCCGAAGGGAAACCGAGUCUUAACUGGGCGUUAAGUUGCAGGGUAUAGACCCGAAACCCGGUGAUCUAGCCAUGGGCAGGUUGAAGGUUGGGUAACACUAACUGGAGGACCGAACCGACUAAUGUUGAAAAAUUAGCGGAUGACUUGUGGCUGGGGGUGAAAGGCCAAUCAAACCGGGAGAUAGCUGGUUCUCCCCGAAAGCUAUUUAGGUAGCGCCUCGUGAAUUCAUCUCCGGGGGUAGAGCACUGUUUCGGCAAGGGGGUCAUCCCGACUUACCAACCCGAUGCAAACUGCGAAUACCGGAGAAUGUUAUCACGGGAGACACACGGCGGGUGCUAACGUCCGUCGUGAAGAGGGAAACAACCCAGACCGCCAGCUAAGGUCCCAAAGUCAUGGUUAAGUGGGAAACGAUGUGGGAAGGCCCAGACAGCCAGGAUGUUGGCUUAGAAGCAGCCAUCAUUUAAAGAAAGCGUAAUAGCUCACUGGUCGAGUCGGCCUGCGCGGAAGAUGUAACGGGGCUAAACCAUGCACCGAAGCUGCGGCAGCGACACUAUGUGUUGUUGGGUAGGGGAGCGUUCUGUAAGCCUGUGAAGGUGGCCUGUGAGGGUUGCUGGAGGUAUCAGAAGUGCGAAUGCUGACAUAAGUAACGAUAAAGCGGGUGAAAAGCCCGCUCGCCGGAAGACCAAGGGUUCCUGUCCAACGUUAAUCGGGGCAGGGUGAGUCGACCCCUAAGGCGAGGCCGAAAGGCGUAGUCGAUGGGAAACAGGUUAAUAUUCCUGUACUUGGUGUUACUGCGAAGGGGGGACGGAGAAGGCUAUGUUGGCCGGGCGACGGUUGUCCCGGUUUAAGCGUGUAGGCUGGUUUUCCAGGCAAAUCCGGAAAAUCAAGGCUGAGGCGUGAUGACGAGGCACUACGGUGCUGAAGUAACAAAUGCCCUGCUUCCAGGAAAAGCCUCUAAGCAUCAGGUAACAUCAAAUCGUACCCCAAACCGACACAGGUGGUCAGGUAGAGAAUACCAAGGCGCUUGAGAGAACUCGGGUGAAGGAACUAGGCAAAAUGGUGCCGUAACUUCGGGAGAAGGCACGCUGAUAUGUAGGUGAAGCGACUUGCUCGUGGAGCUGAAAUCAGUCGAAGAUACCAGCUGGCUGCAACUGUUUAUUAAAAACACAGCACUGUGCAAACACGAAAGUGGACGUAUACGGUGUGACGCCUGCCCGGUGCCGGAAGGUUAAUUGAUGGGGUUAGCGGUAACGCGAAGCUCUUGAUCGAAGCCCCGGUAAACGGCGGCCGUAACUAUAACGGUCCUAAGGUAGCGAAAUUCCUUGUCGGGUAAGUUCCGACCUGCACGAAUGGCGUAAUGAUGGCCAGGCUGUCUCCACCCGAGACUCAGUGAAAUUGAACUCGCUGUGAAGAUGCAGUGUACCCGCGGCAAGACGGAAAGACCCCGUGAACCUUUACUAUAGCUUGACACUGAACAUUGAGCCUUGAUGUGUAGGAUAGGUGGGAGGCUUUGAAGUGUGGACGCCAGUCUGCAUGGAGCCGACCUUGAAAUACCACCCUUUAAUGUUUGAUGUUCUAACGUUGGCCCGUAAUCCGGGUUGCGGACAGUGUCUGGUGGGUAGUUUGACUGGGGCGGUCUCCUCCUAAAGAGUAACGGAGGAGCACGAAGGUUGGCUAAUCCUGGUCGGACAUCAGGAGGUUAGUGCAAUGGCAUAAGCCAGCUUGACUGCGAGCGUGACGGCGCGAGCAGGUGCGAAAGCAGGUCAUAGUGAUCCGGUGGUUCUGAAUGGAAGGGCCAUCGCUCAACGGAUAAAAGGUACUCCGGGGAUAACAGGCUGAUACCGCCCAAGAGUUCAUAUCGACGGCGGUGUUUGGCACCUCGAUGUCGGCUCAUCACAUCCUGGGGCUGAAGUAGGUCCCAAGGGUAUGGCUGUUCGCCAUUUAAAGUGGUACGCGAGCUGGGUUUAGAACGUCGUGAGACAGUUCGGUCCCUAUCUGCCGUGGGCGCUGGAGAACUGAGGGGGGCUGCUCCUAGUACGAGAGGACCGGAGUGGACGCAUCACUGGUGUUCGGGUUGUCAUGCCAAUGGCACUGCCCGGUAGCUAAAUGCGGAAGAGAUAAGUGCUGAAAGCAUCUAAGCACGAAACUUGCCCCGAGAUGAGUUCUCCCUGACUCCUUGA